rnacentral:rRNA from 1 species
UUCCGGUUGAUCCUGCCAGAGGUUACUGCUAUCGAGGUUCGACUAAGCCAUGCGAGUCGAAUGUAGCAAUACAUGGCGAACUGCUCAGUAACACGUGGACAACCUGCCCUUAGGACGGGGAUAAACCCGGGAAACUGGGUAUAAUACCCGAUAGGUCUCGAUUGCUGGAAUGCAUCGAGAUUUAAAGCUCCGGCGCCUAAGGAUGGGUCUGCGGCCUAUCAGGUAGUAGUGGGUGUAGCGUACCUACUAGCCUACGACGGGUACGGGUUGUGAGAGCAAGAGCCCGGAGAUGGAUUCUGAGACACGAAUCCAGGCCCUACGGGGUGCAGCAGGCGCGAAAACUUUACAAUGCUGGCAACAGCGAUAAGGGAACCUCGAGUGCCAGGUUACAAAUCUGGCUGUCGAGAUGCCUAAAAAGCAUUUCAUAGCAAGGGCCGGGCAAGACCGGUGCCAGCCGCCGCGGUAACACCGGCGGCUCGAGUGGUAACCGUUAUUAUUGGGUCUAAAGGGUCUGUAGCCGGCCGGAUAAGUCUCUUGAGAAAUCUGGCAGCUUAACUGUCAGGCUUUCAGGAGAUACUGUCUGGCUCGAGGCCGGGAGAGGUGAGAGGUACUUCAGGGGUAGGGGUGAAAUCUUGUAAUCCUUGAAGGACCACCAGUGGCGAAGGCGUCUCACCAGAACGGACCUGACGGCAAGGGACGAAAGCUAGGGGCACGAACCGGAUUAGAUACCCGGGUAGUCCUAGCCGUAAACGAUACUCGCUAGGUGUCGGCCACGGUGCGACCGUUGUCGGUGCCGUAGGGAAGCCGUGAAGCGAGCCACCUGGGAAGUACGGCCGCAAGGCUGAAACUUAAAGGAAUUGGCGGGGGAGCACCACAACGG